rnacentral:rRNA from 1 species
UAGGGAAUCUUCGGCAAUGGACGAAAGUCUGACCGAGCAACGCCGCGUGAGUGAAGAAGGUUUUCGGAUCGUAAAACUCUGUUGUUAGAGAAGAACAAGGACGUUAGUAACUGAACGUCCCCUGACGGUAUCUAACCAGAAAGCCACGGCUAACUACGUGCCAGCAGCCGCUGUAAUACGUAGGUGGCAAGCGUUGUCCGGAUUUAUUGGGCGUAAAGCGAGCGCAGGCGGUUUCUUAAGUCUGAGGUGAAAGCCCCCGGCUCAACCGGGGAGGGUCAUUGGAAACUGGGAGACUUGAGUGCAGAAGAGGAGAGUGGAAUUCCAUGUGUAGCGGUGAAAUGCGUAGAUAUAUGGAGGAACACCAGUGGCGAAGGCGUCUCGCUGAUCUGUAACUGACGCUGAGGCUCGAAAGCGUGGGGAGCAAACAGG